rnacentral:piRNA from 1 species
UGAAAGCCACAGCCGCUCCAGCAUCUCAAUC